CCUACGCGUGGCAGCAGUGGGGGAUAUUGCACAAUGGGGGCAACCCUGAUGCAGCGACGCCGCGUGUGGGAAGACGGUCCUCUGGAUUGUAAACCACUGUCCCCAGGGACGAAGAUGAAGGUAUCUGGGGAUGAAGCUCCGGCUAACUAAGUGCCAGCAGCCCCGGUAAUCCGUAGGGAGCGAGCGUUGUCCGGAAUUACUGGGGGUAAAGGGAGCGUAGGCGGGACUGCAAGGUGAGUGUCAAAUCUACCGGCUCAACCGGUAGCCGCACUCAAAACUGCAGUUCUUGAGUGAAGUAGAGGCAGGCAGAAUUCCUAGUGUAGCGGUGAAAUGCGUAGAUAUUAGGAGGAACACCAGUGGCGAAGGCGGCCUGCUGGGCUUUUACUGACGCUGAGGCUCGAAAGUGUGGGGAGCAAACAGGAUUAGAUACCCUUGUAGUC
rnacentral:rRNA from 1 species